UGACAUUUGGCACUCAGGCUUUACGUACUUAAAAUGUAUCCUCUCAAGUUGAAUCAUUGCCAGAGGACAUGAGACUAGUUAACGUAUCCAUUUUACAGAAAUAGAAACUGAGACUCAGAGCGGAGGCGACUAGUCUGUCGACACUCAGCUAAAGGAGCAGCUACAGCCUGGAUUCCAACUCCUGUCUGACCACAUCCAGAGUAUUUCCUUUGAUUUGUGGAACACUCGGGAUUCACGGGGUCCCACUGGGAGCCUGUGGAGGGUGCAAGAUGCAAAACUCAAGAACCAGGAGGAAUUCUGAGUCCUCUGAGGUCUGUGGAAGAGCUGCAAUUCAUUCUAGGUAAGUCUUUUUUUUUUUUUUUAAGUUUAUUUAUUUAUUUUGAGAGAGAGCAAGCCUAGGAGGGUCAGAGAGAGAGGGAGAGAGAGAGAGAGAGAGAGAGAGAGAGAAUCCCAAGCAGGCUCCAUGCCUCAGCACAGAGCCAAUGUGGGGCUCAAUCUCAUGAACCAUGAGAUAGUGACCUGAACCAAGACCAAGAGUCAGACACUUAACCUACUGAGCCACCCAGAUGCCUCAUUCUAGAUAAGUCUUAAUAAUCAAGUUUCU
rnacentral:lncRNA from 1 species